rnacentral:rRNA from 1 species
AUUGAACGCUGGCGGCAGGCCUAACACAUGCAAGUCGAACGAGUGGCGGACGGGUGAGUAAUGUCUGGGAAACUGCCUGAUGGAGGGGGAUAACUACUGGAAACGGUAGCUAAUACCGCAUACCAUCAGAUGUGCCCAGAUGGGAUUAGCUAGUUGGUGGGGUAACGGCUCACCAAGGCGACGAUCCCGAGCGGGUCUGAGAGGUUGACCAGCCACACGGGAACUGAGAAACGGUCCAGACGCCGACGGGAGGAAGCAGUGGGGAAUAGUGCACAAUGGGCGAAAGCCUGAUGCGGCAAUGCCGCGUGUAUGAAGAGGGCUUUCGGGUUGUAAAGUCCUUUCAGCGGGGAGGCGUUACCCGCAGAAGAAGCACCGGCUAACUCCGUGCCAGCCGCCGCGGUAAUAC